rnacentral:lncRNA from 1 species
AAAGAAAAAAGAAAAAAAAAAAAAUAAAAAAAAAAAAAUAAAAAAAAAAAAUAAAAAAUGAGACCAGUCUCAUUUUUCAGAAAAUGAAACAAAGUAAAAAAAAAAAAACCUUUUAAUUUUCUUUAUUGUAUAUAUAAAUUUUAUAUAUAAAAAUACUCUUCUGGAUUUCUUGCAUUGAUUAAUCCAGUUAGAUGGAAUUCCUCUACAUAAAAACGUUAAUACUCACUGUAUAGUAGGGUAACUUGUAAUAGAGAAGUUUUGGUUUUGUUGUUUACGUAUAUAAUUUUUUGAAGGUCAUGUGCUUCCUAAACCCAAGUUUGAAGUUAUACAAUCAACUCUGAGCUAUUGAUUCCAAAAGUUUUGAGACUUCCCACGUGAGGAUAAAUUAAAUUGCUAUGAUUUUAACAAGUUUGGAUAAAUACUGACUUACAGCUACAUUGCUCUGUGUGGCUGCGGAUGACUGAUCAGAGGGGCAUCCCUGGCGAGAGGUGGAAAACAUGGCCGGACAGUUUUAGGCUCUCCUGAAUUAGAGCCCUGAGUAUCCUGGAUGUGCAGGCUGCUGGUGUUAGCAUGGCGUGCGGCAGCAUCUUCUAUUGUGAGUGUGGCCUGCUGUGACUCAAUGAGCUCUGUGUGUGUGUGUGUGUGUGUGUCUUGCAAAGGCUCAUGUGAGCUGAGCAUCUUGGUGACGUCAAAUUUCGCAAUGAUGUAAAUUUACAUGUUAGUAAUUAGAAGAAUCUAUAUGCCUUCAUUUUAAAAGUCCAUGUUUCUAUCAUUUAGCAGUUCAGUUGGCCUAGAAGGAAUAUCUGCUGUGAAUUAAGCUAAAACAUGAGAGAAAUUAAAUCUAGUUAAAUCAGUAACACAAGUAACUCCAUAAAACUAACAAUUUAGAAGCUUCUCUAAGCAUCUUGACUUAGUAAUUUUAUUUGCUUGCUUGUUUUUUUGAGACAGGGUCUCUGUGUUAGCCCAGGCUGGCCUGGGACUCGUCGUAAUCCUUCUGCCUCAGCCUCCCAGGUGCUGAGAAUGCAGAUGCAUGUUAUCAUACCAAGCCAUAUGUUUAUUAAAGCAUUGAUGUUAAAACUCUAAUCAGGUGGACAUUGUUCAUUUUCUGAAAAACCAAAUUCGAUUCUCACCAGGUGGGGAGGUCUGUUGAAGAAGGUAGGAAGCCCACUUCUGCCACAGCCAUGCUGUGGCUGCUUCUCAUGGACUCUGUCUUCAUCUGCAAAUGGAAUCAUUUUCAGUGUUAAUUCCAUGAAUGGAUAGAGAUGUAGGACAAACUUAAUGUUUAAAAUAAAUGUACAGAUUUACAUGAGUGGAACAGAUCUAUAAAUAGGCUAUUGAUACAUAGCCCUUUUUCUUUGAUUUAAAAGGUAGUAUUUAUUUAUUUGAACUGUAUAGUGUGUUAUGGCUGGCUUUGCAUUUACAUACCCUGACAGUUAGGCUCUCUCCACUCAGUGUCCACUGUGAUCUUAAGUCUUGGCUUAAAGGAAGGCUCUGCAGCUGCUGUUUGCCCCCAGAAUCCUCUGGUAAGCUGUCUCAUUUAUAUUCUGGAAAAGGUGAUUUUCAAAUUUAUGUUUUUGGCAGCCAGAACAUCAGGGUUAGUUUGGAAGGAGAGGGGGAAGUGUUACUUCAUCUGCAACAUGUUUUAAAGUGAUAAUUAUAGUUUCAGCGAUUUUAUUUCCAUUUUAAGUUUAUGUGGCCCAUCCCCCUUUUCUCUUUGAACUCUUAACACAAGGAACACCUUUUUUCCUUAUAGAGCUGUGAAUUAAGGAAUGGGCAGAGUUUACAUUUACACACACCUGUGUCUGCCCAGUUUCUCCUCUCUCCCCUCUUCCAUUUUGAAAUAGAGUCCAAUGUAGUCCAGGCUGGCCACAAACCCUCUGUGUAGCCCAGGUUGGCCUUUAAGCUCCUUAUCCUCCUACCUCCAUCUAACAGUUGCUGGGAUCAUACUUAUGCACCAGCCACCACACUGAGCUUUGCCUCCACCCCUUCUUAACAUACAUAAUUGUUCUCUGUCUUCCUUUUUCUUAAAAUACUAGAACCCAUAGUUCUUCUUAGUGCCUUUGAGCUGACCCUGCAGUCUGACUAAUUAGAAUCAGUGAAACCCUGAGUAGUGUUACUGUAAUGCUGUUACCGACCAGGAAACAAACUGUACAGAAAGUUGGCUGUGUUAAUUCAAAAUCCACACUUGAGCUGUAUUUAAUGUAUAAAUUGUACUUGUCCAAGCUGUAUAUAUCAAUGCUGUGUGUACGUGCAGCCCAGGAGGAUGAGAAAUAAAUGCCUCCCCAUGCCU